rnacentral:rRNA from 1 species
UAGGGAAUCUUCGGCAAUGGGGGGAACCCUGACCGAGCAACGCCGCGUGAGUGAAGAAGGUUUUCGGAUCGUAAAGCUCUGUUGUUAAGGAAGAACGAGUGUGAGAAUGGAAAGUUCAUACUGUGACGGUACUUAACCAGAAAGGGACGGCUAACUACGUUCCAGCAGCCGCGGUAUUACGUAGGUCCCAAGCGUGGUCCGGAUUUAUUUGGCGUAAAGCGAGCGCAGGCGGUUAGAUAAGUCUGAAGUUAAAGGCAGUGGCUCAACCAUUGUAGGCUUUGGAAACUGUUUAACUUGAGUGCAGAAGGGGAGAGUGGAAUUCCAUGUGUAGCGGUGAAUUGCGUUGGUAUAUGGUGGAACACCGGUGGCGAAAGCAGCUCUCUGGUCAGUAACUGACGCCGAGGCUCGAAAGCGUGGGUAGCAAACAGG